rnacentral:lncRNA from 1 species
AGGAGGAGGAGACCAGCAGGCUUCUACCUUUAUGUAAAGGCCACUCAGCAGCCCCAAACUGCAACCUUCCACUGGGCUCCAUAAACUGGCCUAAAACUUUGAUUCCUUUUCUGGAGGGCUGCCAGGAAAAACAACACACCUAAAAGCUUUAGUUUAAAAAUGAGCAAACACACUAUGUUUGGUGUGAUUCUUUACAGAGGAGUAGAUAGCAAGAAAUACUCAAACUCAGAGCUGAAAUAAAUCAAUUAGUAACAAAGAAAACAAUACAAAGACUCAAUGAAAGAGUUGGUUCUUUGAGAUCAUCAACAAGAAAUCCUUAUCCAAUCAAACUAAAAGGCAGAGGCAAUAUCCAAAUUGGCAAAAUCAGAAAUCAAAAGGGGGCUAAAAACAACAGACAAUGAGGAAAUCUAAAGAUGUGCUAGGUCUUACUUCAAAAACCUGUACUCAACAAAAUUGUAAAUUCUAAAUGAAAUGGACAAUUUUCUUGACAGAUACCAUUUGCCAAAGAUAAAGCAAGAUUGAAUAAACAAUUUAAAGAUGUAUUCUUAGGAUAAACAGAAAAGGAAAGGCUAUGUCUUAACAAUGCUAUGCUUGUGUGUCAAUUUAUAUAGGGAUCAAUUAUCCCAGCUAGUUUUACCUGAACUUGACAAAGGCUACAUUCAUCUGAAAGUUGGGAACGUCAAUUAAGAAAAUCUGUCUAUAAGAUAAAACUGCAGAGCAUGUUCUUAACUAGGGAUUGAUAUGAGAAGGCCCAUUCCAUUGUGGACAGUGCUAUUGCAUGGCUGGUGGUACUCAGUUCUAUAAGAAAGCAGAUUGCAGGCCAUAAAGAACAAGAGGAUAAGCAGCACUCCUCCGCGCAUCUGCAUUUUCUCCUGCCUCCAGGUCACUCCCCCGUUAGAAUUCCUAUCCCGAUUACCUUCAGUAAUAUGGAAGUAUAAACCAAGUAAAUCCUUUUUUUCUCCAAUUUGUUUUUUAUUGUAGUGUUUUAUCGUAGCUAUAGAAGCCCUACUUUAGACAAGGCCUCUACAGAGAGCCUCUUAGAGAUUGCUCCUGACACAAGUAUGCAUGCAAAAUGACAGACUAAGAAGACAAAAGUAUCAUCUACAACAGUUGGUUCAAGUGUCUCAUGUAUUCUUCAAUAAGACUGUGCCCAUCCUAACUUAAAUACCAAGCGAGGAAGAGAGAAUGAACUCAAAACAGGACUCUAGUGCUUUCCUAAAAAUGGCCUCAUCACUGUGCAUAAAUGUAGAACAAAUUAUUUAGACUCUAAUCAUUGUUUCAGUAAAGCAAGGAUCUUUGGAGAGGAAAGGCUACUCAGAUUUACAUUAAAUGUGGUGCAGAAAGGAGAGAGUUAGGUUAAAAUCAGGUGAGCUCAUCUACAGUAGCAAGUUCUCUCUCUCUCUCUUUUUUUUUGCUUCAUUUUCAUUUUUCUCUUUUGACUAGUCAAAAUGGUUACGUUUUAAGCCAGUGACAUAUAGUAUAAAUGACCCUAGAUUAUGAUGAAAGUUUUAAUUAUUGCUUGCUAAGUUUUUUUUUUUGUAUAGACAUAACUUCUUCCAAAAUGACACGGCAUUCCCUCUUAUUGUUUAUUCUGUAAAGAAGAAAUGGAUUAAUAGACCAGAUGUAGUAGUGUAUAGAUCAAACAAAAUGUAAGAUUUGUUGUUUUAUUUUCCAAGUUCUUUCUAAACCAGAAACUUGUUUGCUACCUUUUGAGAAGUAUGUUCAAGUAGUCAUUGAGACCUGUGCCAAGAACCAGCCCAAGCUGAUGGCUGUGGUUAGUGGAAAUCUUAUUUGUUUUGUGAAUCAGAUCCAGUGGGGAGAAAAAAAAGGCAACUUUUGAACAAAAUUGUAAAAAGAAACAGGUCUAAAAAAAAUUGAAAUAUUUAAUCCCAAGAAGAUAAUAAUGAUUAAGUGGAAAAUAAUGUUCAUACCCUCUUAUUUUGACUUCACACACUGGAAACUUUUUUAUGGUCCUAUAGUGCUGCUGUCACUGUGGAGAGUUGUGCUCCAUCAGCAGUAGUUUACUGAUGAUAUUUCUCUCAGUCUUGGGUUAAAUAGUGGCACGAAAAAUUAGUUGGUAAAUUUCUCUGAUAACUAUUUUGAGUGAAAAUUUGUCAACUAAUACAGGGCUUUACCUAGAAGAGCACUCCUAGUAAGUCUUUAGCUGGACAGCUCUAGCAGGGCAUGGCUAGUUUCUAAGCAUAGAGUUGAACUUGGCUCAAGAGGUCUCUCCUCCAGGUGCUGACAUGACCUUAUUUCUGAAUAAAUUAGCUUCAGUUUUGGAGGAAAUAUCAGCAUAGAUACUUAUCCAAUCACAAUCCAUGUCCAAAAGUACCAUAUUAAUUCCUACUUGGCAAAUUAAUGUAGAAAAUAACCUAGAAAAAAAUAGCCUUUUUAACUAACUGCCCUUGGUGAGCACUGAGUUUAUUGUUGUCCUACUUUAACAGCAUCUUCUUUCCCCUAAAGGACAACCACUUCAUUGUAUAUUUUUAAAUUGAAUUUCAACUUUUUAUGUAUAGUACUCUCAGUGAAAACUUUUUAGAAUUGUUUUAUUUUUCUGUCAUGAUCAAAAAACAAUGUAGGCCAUAAAAAAAGUUUCACCUGUUUGGCAAGGUUAAUGGUAGUUUGCCAUAGUUGGUAUUAAAAUGUUAUGGUCAUCAAGAGUCAUCAAGCCUCUACAAGACCAAGCUUAUCCCCUCCCAUUGAGGGCAGACAAGGCCAUGUAUGCUUCUCAGUAGGUGGCUUAGUCUCUGGGAGCCCUGAGGGGUCUGAUGAGUGGAUACUGUUUAUCUUCCUUUGGGGUUACAAUCUUCUUCUGCUCCUUCAGUCCUUCCCCUAACUCUUCCAAAGGGGUCUCUGAUCUCUGUCCAAUGAUUGUCUGUAUCUGAAUCUGUCUCAGUCAGUUGUUGGUAGAGCCUCUCAGAGGACAGCCAUGUCAGACUCCUGUCUGCAAGCACAACAUGUCAUCAGCAAUAGUGUCGGAGUUUGGUGCCUGAACAUGGAAUCGAUCCCAUGUUGGGCUGUCUUUAAAUGGCCUUUUCUUCAUUCUCUGCUCCAUUUUUUUUCUCUGCAUUUCCUUUAGACAGGAACAAUUCUGAGUCAAAAACUUUGAGAUGAGUAGAUGGCCCCAGUUAUGAUGAAUGUUAUUUAACUUCUGUUUAAUGUUCUUUCAACUCGAGGUGUUCUUUGAAUAAUGUCAAGCAUCCCAUUAAUAUUUUGAAAUAGUAAGAUAGCACUUACCCACAAUUCUAUAGCCAUCUAAAUUUUAUUGCACGGUACAUAAAUUACACAUUAAUUCUAUUUUUAUUUUCAUGAUAAAGUUUGGUUACUUUUUGCAUCUAAAAUUGUUAUUGGGAAACUAUGUUUUCCAUCAUAGAGCUUUAGAAACAAAAGGGAUGUUUCAAACAGCUAAAACAAAUAUCUUGUCCUGUCUAAAAGAACUACAGAGAUAAAAAUUGAGCAGGGACUGAAGGAAUGGCCAACCAACAACAAGCCCAUCCCCUGGGCAAAGACCAGUUCCUGACACAAUGAUACUCUGUUCUUCUUGCAGAUUGGAGCCUAGAAUAGUUGUCUUCUGAGAGGCUCUAUCCAGCAGCUGAUGAAACCAAAUGCUGAUACCCACAGUCAAACAUUAGAAGGAGGGAUGCCUUAUGUGGCCUCAGUAAGAGAGAAUUUGCCAAACUCAGCAGAGACUUGAUAGUACCACGGUUGGAGAAUACCCAGGGAGGGACCAUGGGCGUAGUGAUGAGGCUGGAGAUGAAGAACAGGAGAGGAUGAAGAAGUUCAGUAGAGUGCUUUGACUUCUACAACUAUCAAAAAUGCCCAUCUGACUGUUUAUCUCUCACUCCAGUUAAUGACUCAGGAAAUGGAACUCAACUUGGUACUUACUUCGGAGCAUAGUUGCACACCAAGUACACUGCUCUUCGCCACACAGAUCCCCAGACGUUCAUGUUUUGGAUCUCACUAUGGAUCUCAGGAUGGACUUUUCUGCCACCACCUCCUGUGCACUGAUUUACAAGUGUGCUCCAUCACAACAGGAUUUGCACUUAGAAGAUGGGAACCUGACCAGUACCAGCAUGUAUGAUUCACAAAAUCUACUGUUAUCAUUUCUAUUAUGUUAACACAGAUGUAUUUUUCUUUAUAUCCAUUUCAAAUUCUUAAAGAUAAUAAAUUUAAAAUUUGUG